UCUAUGUCAGUGAUGCAGUCAAAAUUGUGGUAAACACAAGCCGAGCACCUGAGAUCUGUACGAACUAGUCUGAUUUGAACACCGAUCUCCCGACUAAUGUUCCCACGUAGGUCGCCACCGAUCUCCUGGCUGACGUUCCCACCGAGGUCGCCACCGAUCUCCCUGCUCACCUUUCAACCGAGGACGACACCGCACUGGAUUCCUGGGAGGUGUGAACUGCCCACUGAUUAUCUUAUGGUAGAACUGGAGGAUUUUUGUUAAUCUUAGAUCAGAUGUUCUGCAUCUCGCAGCAGUGUUCACUUAACUUUGCUGAGUGUUUCACUCAAGAACAAAGACCCUCACUGGAAAUAGUGCAGAUCAAUUAGACUUAGUUCUUAACCAAGAUUUCUAUUAUGAAUUGAAUCAUUUUUAUAUCAUAAACAGUUUAUACUGUCAAUAUAAACUAUGUUUAUAUUAUUACAAAGUUUUGCCUUAAAAGUUAUACAUUCUUUAGAGUUUUGGUGUAUUUUGUUUUCUGUCCAGUAAUACCGGAACUUUCAUUGGUAUCUCCAGUUGUAUUUGACUAAUAUUAAUAACUUCAUACAUAUAGUGGUUGAGUGUGUUCUUGCCUGUGGUUGAGUGUGUUCUUGCCUGUGGUUGAGUGUGAUCUUGGUGUGGUUGAGUGUGAUCUUGAUGUGGUUGAGUGUGAUCUUGGUGUGGUUGAGUGUGAUCAUGCUUGGGGUGAGUUUUAUCCAGUGUUCGAGUAGGUCCGUGAAGACGUGUUUCUUGGGAUACUAAUGUCUCCUGCGAGGCAGAGUUGUCAAACCUCGUAGCAGUAACAUUACAAUAUGUUCGCAUUUUUUCGCGACGGGGGGGGGGAGAUACACUGUUUUCACCACUACUACGCUGUCAUCUUCACUACACAGUCACCUACACGACACAGUCGUCUUCACUAUGUCAUCUUCACUACACUGCCAUCUUCACUACACUGUCACCUCGACUUCAGUGUCAUUUUCACUACACUGUCAUCUUCACUACACUGUCAUCAUCACUACAAUGUCAUCACUACACUGUCAUCUUCACUUCAAUGUCAUCUUCACUAUAUUGUCAUCUUCACUACACUGUCAUCUUCACUACACUGUCAUCCUCACUACACUGUCAUCUUCACUACACUAAUAACUUCACAACUUUGUUAUCACUAAUCACUACUGUUAUCACUGCUGUAAUCAUUAAACUGUUAUGAUCCCUGUUGUUAUCGUCGCUACUGCACUGUUAUCACUACUACACUAUUAUCGCACUAUAUUAUCACAGCGACUUCACUAUCACCCCUACAGAGCUGUUAUUACACUGAUAUCCCUAA